GAAAUGCGAUAAGUAAUGUGAAUUGCAGAAUUCAGUGAAUCAUCGAAUCUUUGAACGCACAUUGCGCCCGCCAGUAUUCUGGCGGGCAUGCCUGUCCGAGCGUCAUUUCAACCAUCAAGCCCCCGGGCUUGUGUUGGGGACCUGCGGCUGCCCGCAGGCCCUGAAAACCAGUGGCGGGCUCGCUGACACACCGAGCGUAGUAGCAAUCACCUCGCUCAGGGCGUGCUGCGGGUUCCGGCCGUUAAACAGCCUUACAAAACCCAAGGUUGACCUCGGAUCAGGUAGGAAGACCCGCUGAACUUAAGC
rnacentral:misc_RNA from 1 species